UACGGAGGGUGCAAGCGUUAUCCGGAUUUACUGGGUUUAAAGGGUGUGUAGGCGGGUAUUUAAGUCAGUGGUGAAAUCUCCGAGCUCAACUUGGAAACUGCCAUUGAUACUAUUUAUCUUGAAUUUUGUUGAGGUAGGCGGAAUAAGUCAUGUAGCGGUGAAAUGCAUAGAUAUGACUUAGAACACCAAUUGCGAAGGCAGCUUGCUAAACAAAUAUUGACGCUGAGGCACGAAAGCGUGGGGAUCAAACAGG
rnacentral:rRNA from 1 species